rnacentral:tRNA from 1 species
CCUCUAAUAGCUUAGUAGUGAAAGCAUUGGUGCAUAAAUCCGAAAGUCUCGGGUUCAAGUCCCGGCGAGGGUG